rnacentral:lncRNA from 1 species
AUGCGCGCGCACGGCCUUUGUGCCGCGCUCCAGAUAGACGACACCAAGGGCGCGUGGGCGCGCUUCACUGCCUCUUGCGGGGUGGUCUGACUGUGCCGGACCAAACACGACUCGCUCGACCAAUGCGCCGCCGACGACUGUCAGUCGGCGACGGCGGCGGCACAGGGCGCAACGGUCUUUUUCCGCGUCGUGGCCCACAAAGGCAUCGCCGGCAGGUUGGCGGUUGAACCCGUGCGGCGGCCCGAGACCGACGGCAAACUGCACGCGACGCGCCACGCCAAACUCGGCCGGCCCAUUGUGAUCGGCCACCUCGCGCACGCCAUAGACGCGGCCCGCCGCGCGUGCAAAAGAAUCAGACAGCGCAUCCCAUGCCGGCGGCAAUGCCCGUACGGCCACACGUCCGUGUGUGCCCCGUGUCGGGCAGUCGGGCACGUCAUUGUCGCCGUCGUCGCCAUCGUCGUAUUCCCCUCGGGUGGCGUCACGGUACAUGUCGACAUUGCCGUGGCGACGGGAAUUUCGACCACCAUGGUGUACGCCGCCGUCCCACAGAUUGCCCCCAUAAUGGUAGUGGCGGCUGUCCAUGUCGCCAUGACGUCCAUCUUGCCGCCAACCAUGUCUUUGGUCAUGAUCGCCGUGAACAAACCCGUUGCGGCCAAAGGCAUUGUCGUAACCGCCGGGAUCCCAGGGACGGCGUCGAUAUGCGCUUGGUAGGCCAGGUACCGUGGCGCUCGCGGCAGUCGACGACGAUGAGGGCGCGCCGCCGAUGGGCGCGUCUUGUGGUCCAUCAUAGGCCUCGACGCGCGACAGCGGGAUCGACGCGGCGGCGGCCACGCGUUGGAGCCAGACGUCAGCACCGGCGUGCCUGGGUCCGGCGCGUGCGCACGCCUUGGCAAAGUCGCGCCACUCGCGCGUCCCGCCCGUUCCCCACAGUGCCGAAUCGACCAGGGUGGAACCGCCGACAGCACGGCCGCCGCCGAGUGCGCAUCGGGCGCCCAGGAGGCCCGGCUCAGCGGCGCCGCCCACACGGAUGGAC